AAAAGCCCCUUCACUUUACCAUGUAGAUUUGCUCAAGUCUAUUUUGGUCAUUCAAGGGGGCAAUAGUAAAUAACCUCAUAAAACCCAAGCAAAUGCUCUGUAUUUGUCUUGUGUCCUGUCUGAGGGAACACUU